UACGAAGGGGGGCUAGCGUUGUUCGGAAUUACUGGGCGUAAAGCGCGCGCAGGCGGCUAUCCAAGUCAGUGGUGAAAGCCCGGAGCUCAACUCCGGAACUGCCAUUGAAACUGUUUAGCUUGAGGAUGAGAGAGGUGAGUGGAAUUCCCAGUGUAGAGGUGAAAUUCGUAGAUAUUGGGAAGAACACCGGUGGCGAAGGCGGCUCACUGGCUCAUUACUGACGCUCAGGCGCGAUAGCGUGGGGAUCAAACAGG
rnacentral:rRNA from 1 species